CUGUGUGUAUUCAGCUGUGCCAGAACCAACAGAACACAAUGUCUCUUAUUCUGAUAAUGGGAACACUGGGUCUGCUUGCUCAAGGGUCCUAUCAGGAAGUCCAGUCUCCUGAAUUUCUGUCAGUUAAAGAAUCAGAAUCUGUCUCUAUUAGCUGUACUGGGACCAGUGGAGUUGAUGAUGACAUGAGCUGGUAUCUUCAGAAACCUGGAGAAGCUCCUAAACUCCUGAUCUACAAAGCAAAUCGACGUGAAUCUGGAAUCUCAGAUCGGUUCAGUGGAAGUCAAUCUGGACUCCUUUUCACACUGACCAUACGUGAAGCCAAACCUGAAGAUGCAGGAGAUUAUUACUGUAUGGGGGCUUAUAGAGACAGGUGCACACAGUGAAAUUCUAUCAUACAAAAACCUCCCUUAGUCAGAGAGCAAAGAGAGAAGCUCACCACCAUAUCAGUCUGUUGAGACAGAUCACCUGUUUGUCUUGUGGAU